AGCGAACGCUGGCGGCAGGCCUAACACAUGCAAGUCGAGCGCCCCUCCUUCAAGCGAGCUUGGAGGAUUGCGCGGCGGUGUCUUCGAGCGGGCGUAAGCUCGUUUGAGGGAACCAUUUCGAAAUCAAGCGGACCCGAAGGGCUCGCUUGAUGGAGGGGAGCGGCAGACGGGAGAGUAACACGUGGGAACGUACCCUUUGGUUCGGAACAACCCAGGGAAACUUGGGCUAAUACCGGAUAAGCCCUCACGGGGAAAGAUUCAUCGCCGAAGGAUCGGCCCGCGUCUGAUUAGCUAGUUGGUGGGGUAAUGGCCCACCAAGGCGACGAUCAGUAGCUGGUCUGAGAGGAUGAUCAGCCUCACUGGGACUGAGACACGGCCCAGACUCCUACGGGAGGCAGCAGUGGGGAAUAUUGGACAAUGGGCGCAAGCCUGAUCCAGCCAUGCCGCGUGGGUGAUGAAGGCCCUAGGGUUGUAAAGCCCUUUCGGCGGGGAAGAUAAUGACGGUACCCGCAGAAGAAGCCCCGGCUAACUUCGUGC
rnacentral:rRNA from 1 species